AUUGAACGCUGGCGGCAGGCCUAACACAUGCAAGUCGAACGAGUGGCGGAAGGGUGAGUAAUGUCUGGGAAACGGCCUGAUGGAGGGGGAUAACUACUGGAAACGGUCGCUAAUACCGCAUACCAUCGGAUGUGCCCAGAUGGGAUUGGCUAGUAGGUGGGGUAACGGCUCACCGAGGCGACGAACCCUAGCUGGUCUGAGAGGAUGACCAGCCAAACUGGAACUGAGACACGGUCCAGACUCCUACGGGCGGCAGCAGUGGGGAAUAUUGCACAAUGGGCGCAAGCCUGAUGCAGCCAUGCCGCGUGUAGGAAGAAGGCCUUCGGGUUGUAAAGUACUUUCAGCGGGGAGGCGUUACCCGCAGAAGAAGCACCGGCUAACUCCGUGCCAGCCGCCGCGGUAAUUC
rnacentral:rRNA from 1 species